rnacentral:rRNA from 1 species
UACGAAGGGGGCUAGCGUUGCUCGGAAUCACUGGGCGUAAAGCGCACGUAGGCGGCUUUUUAAGUCAGGGGUGAAAUCCUGGAGCUCAACUCCAGAACUGCCUUUGAUACUGAGAAGCUUGAGUCCGGGAGAGGUGAGUGGAACUGCGAGUGUAGAGGUGAAAUUCGUAGAUAUUCGGAAGAACACCAGUGGCGAAGGCGACUCACUGGACACGUAUUGACGCUGAGGUGCGAAAGCGUGGGGAGCAAACAGG